AUAUCAAUAAGCGGAGGAAAAGAAACUAACAAGGAUUCCCCUAGUAGCGGCGAGCGAAGCGGGAUGAGCUCAAAUUUGUAAUCUGGCGUCUUUAGGCGUCCGAGUUGUAAUCUACAGAAACGUUUUCCGUGCCGGACCGCGUCCAAGUCCCCUGGAAUGGGGUAUCAAAGAGGGUGAGAAUCCCGUGCUUGACGCGACGACCGGUGCUCUGUGAUACGUUCUCUACGAGUCGAGUUGUUUGGGAAUGCAGCUCUAAAUGGGUGGUAGACUCCAUCUAAGGCUAAAUAUUGGCGAGAGACCGAUAGCGCACAAGUA
rnacentral:rRNA from 1 species